UUCGGUCAGAUUGACCCAAUGGGGAAUCUCAAAACCUGGUAACAACAAUCAAUGGUGGUGGCGAAGAUUCAAAAUCGAGAGUAGGAGGAGGAGGAGGAGGUCAUCGUGACUGGUGAGUGACUGUGUCAUGCUUGAUUAAUGGAAUCUAAGCCUCUCCGUUCCCCUCUUUCAUCGAAGCACAUAAUCUCCGGGAUGUGUGCUUCCACCUUCGUUGGAGAAGCGAUUGGAAUUGGAAGAAUUCAGUAGUAUGCUUCAGAGAGCCUCCACGGAGAUUGAUUGCUGCAUUUUGCAUAAUUGCUUUUGUUUUUUUUAAUGGAAAGGUAGCUUUGUGGCUGUGGAGAAGUUACACGCAUCAGAUUAUGGUCUCCCAGUUUGUGUUAAAUGGGACUGCAUAGAAAUUGAGAUCAAUUUUGUGCAUACAUUAAGGUGAAGAAGCAAAACUCGAAAUUCCAGUUCUAUCAGUCUAUUGAGGAGGGUUUUGUGCUUCUGUACUUUGAUUCUCCGUGGUGCCGAGCAUGGUUUCGAUGCUUUUAUCAAUUGGACCAGAGAGGCCUUGCUGUGUUGCUUAUAAUUAUCUUAGAACCUGAGGCUUUUGAAGGAAGAAGCAGAUGAAGCUUUACUGAUCAUCCAAAGCAGCUACUCUACCAGACUUUGGCUAAACUAGCUGUAAAGGGAUGUAGAAGCUGCGUUGAAAGUGAAGAGGCGGGAUUUGUUAGAGCUCAAGGCCUAUAUGACCUCAGUCGUUACUGAUCCUCAUUUAAGCAUUCGUAGAGGAUGGAUGAGUAGUGAAUCGUCUGGAUACUUCAAAGGCUGGUUCGACAAAAGACAAGGUAGUAAGGGCCUGGGAAGUUUCAGAAAUCUUGAGCUCGGUAGAAACUUUUACGAUAACAGUGUCUUACCAUACUUGAAUGAGGCUGUGUCGCUCUCGCUCAAGACAUUGAUUCUCCGUGACGCCUUAUUUGAUGGUGGUUUUCCUGUUCAAUAGCUCACCAAUAUGCGAAACCUAAGAGCUUUGGAUCUUAAGCAAUAAUCAAUUCUCUGGUUCAUUGCAAAAAAACAGGCAAGUUAUGACAAAUACUGCUUUUGUAGUAGUGGAACUCGUCUCAGUUUCGUUUGUAUAUUUCUUGAUGUUUCCCUGUGCAUCGAUAUUGAGGUUUGAUGGUGGAGCCUCGGAGCGACGUAUGUAACAGUUUUGAUGGAUUCUCCGUUAUCUAGAGAGGUUUUCUCCGUUAUCUAGAGAGGUUUUCGAGGAAGGAUGAAAUCAGAAGUAAUUGUCAACAUUUCUUCAAAGAUGAUCUUUGAUCUUUACAAGUUAUAGGAUUGUUGUAUGCAUAUUUUAUGAGCGAGGACGUAUGAUUAAAUUUAAAGCCACUAAUUAUCUUUCAA